rnacentral:lncRNA from 1 species
CCAUCUCUUUCGCAGCUCCACAGGUGCAAGCAGUCGAGCACUCAAUGCUUGCCAACUCAUUCCAGAAAACCUUGAGUUUAGUGAAAUAGACUGCUAUUGUCGCAUUUUCUUGCAAAAUUGAAGAAAUCUUCCUCUGGAACUGAUAAAUCAAAGUUCCGUUGCUCUAUCCGUAUCUUUCUGAUAUCUCAUCCCACAGCUCCUUUAAAGAAGACGUAUAGAUGAAUGCAUCAGCAAGAUGAUAUUGAAUUAAUGUUCAUG